AAUGCAUAGCUAAGUUGCAUGAAGUAGAAAACAUAUAUAUUUAAAACAUACUUCAUGAUAAUGCUUUAGAUUUAAUCAGCUUAACACAAUCAACAUAUUUCAAUUUAAGCUGAUUUGUAUUCAAUUCAAAACAUAAAGCAUUAUGAGCAUAUACUUAGAUAUUUCUUUCUCUUUUUGACAACAUCAAAAAGGUUGCAAGAUAAUGAAACAUUAAGCACAAAGAUAAGAAUACUCAAAUAUUUCUUUUCUUUUUGUACUCUGAUUUGCAUGUCAAAUUAUUGCAAGAUUAUGAAUCAUAUAACUCAAGGCAAUAAUGUUAGAAAAAGAUUAAUGAGCAUAGAUCAGAGCCAAUUAUAAUGAGAACACAUCGAAUGUGGUUCCAAAGAUAGUUUUCAAAUCAAGUGUAGGUGAAAAUUUUCUCAAGUUAAUUCAAGAAGUACCAAGAAUGAUAUUCAAAGAAAGCACGAAUGAAAAUCUAAUCAUUCUUUAAUAAUAAGUAUGAAAGCUUGUUCAUUUAAGAUCUUUUGCCCAAUAUAUUAAGUAUUUUAGCAGCAUGAGAGCAAUUGAACUAAUUUUCUUUUUGGAGUAUAAUAGCAAUAUAUUAAGUAU
rnacentral:lncRNA from 1 species